UACGUAGGGGGCAAGCGUUGUCCGGAAUCAUUGGGCGUAAAGAGCGUGUAGGCGGCCAGAUAAGUCCGCUGUGAAAUCUCGAGGCUCAACUUCGAGCUGUCGGUGGAAACUGUCUGGCUAGAGUCCGGAAGAGGAGAACGGAAUUCCUGGUGUAGCGGUGAAAUGCGCAGAUAUCAGGAAGAACACCCGUGGCGAAGGCGGUUCUCUGGGACGGUACUGACGCUGAGACGCGAAAGCGUGGGGAGCGAACAGG
rnacentral:rRNA from 1 species